rnacentral:rRNA from 1 species
GAUGAACGCUGGCGGCGUGCUUAACACAUGCAAGUCGAACGAGAAAUGGUGUCUGAAACCUUCGGGCGGAAGGCUUCUUGUCGAGUGGCGGACGGUGGAGUAACGCGUGUGUAUCCUGCCGUAUAUAGGGGGAUAACAGUUGGAAACGACUGUUAAUGUCGUAUAAGACCACAGCACCGCAUGGUGCUGGGUUUAUACCUCCGGUGGUAUGAGGUGGACCCGCGUUCGAUUAGCCAGUUGGUGGGGUAACGGCCCACCAAAGCGACGAUCGAUAGCCGAUCUGAGAGGAUGACCGGCCACAUUGGGACUGACACACGGCCCACACACCUACGGGAGGCAGCAGUGGGGAAUAUUGCACAAUGGGGGAACACCUGAUGCAGCGACGCCGCGUGAGUGAAGAAGUACUUCGGUAUAAAAAACUCUAUCAGCAGGGAAGAAAAUGACGGUACCUGAGUAAGAAGCCCCGGCUAACUACGUG